rnacentral:rRNA from 1 species
GUGGGGAAUAUUGGACAAUGGGCGAAAGCCUGAUCCAGCAAUGCCGCGUGAGUGAUGAAGGCCUUAGGGUUGUAAAGCUCUUUUACCCGGGAUGAUAAUGACAGUACCGGGAGAAUAAGCCCCGGCUAACUCCGUGCCAGCAGCCGCGGUAAUACGGAGGGGGCUAGCGUUGUUCGGAAUUACUGGGCGUAAAGCGCACGUAGGCGGCUUUGUAAGUUAGAGGUGAAAGCCCAGGGCUCAACCCUGGAAUUGCCUUUAAGACUGCAUCGCUUGAACAUCGGAGAGGUAAGUGGAAUUCCGAGUGUAGAGGUGAAAUUCGUAGAUAUUCGGAAGAACACCAGUGGCGAAGGCGACUUACUGGACGAUUGUUGACGCUGAGGUGCGAAAGCGUGGGGAGCAAACAGG